rnacentral:rRNA from 1 species
AUUGAACGCUGGCGGCAUGCCUUACACAUGCAAGUCGAACGGUAACAGGUCUUCGGAUGCUGACGAGUGGCGAACGGGUGAGUAAUGCAUCGGAACGUGCCCAGUAGUGGGGGAUAGCCCGGCGAAAGCCGGAUUAAUACCGCAUACGACCUGAGGGUGAAAGGGGGGGAUCGCAAGACCUCUCGCUAUUGGAGCGGCCGAUGGCAGAUUAGCUAGUUGGUGGGGUAAAGGCCUACCAAGGCAACGAUCUGUAGUUGGUCUGAGAGGACGACCAGCAACCCUGGGACUGAGACACGGGCCAGACUCCUACAGGAGGCAGCAGUGGGGAAUUUUGGACAAUGGGGGCAAGCCUGAUCCAGCAAUGCCGCGUGCAGGAAGAAAGCCUUCGGGUUGUAAACUGCUUUUGUCAGGGAAGAAAUCUUCUGGGUUAAUACCUCGGGAGGAUGACGGUACCUGAAGAAUAAGCACCGGCUAACUACGUGCCAGCCGCCGCGGUAAGAC